rnacentral:tRNA from 1 species
GAGAGUGUAGCUCAGUGGUAGAGCACAUGCUCAGCACGCACGAGCUGGGUUCAAUCCCCAGCACCUCCA